GAUGAAGAACGUAGCGAAAUGCGAUAAGUAAUGUGAAUUGCAGAAUUCAGUGAAUCAUCGAAUCUUUGAACGCACAUUGCGCCCGCCAGUAUUCUGGCGGGCAUGCCUGUUCGAGCGUCAUUACAACCCUCAGGCCCCCGGGCCUGGCGUUGGGGAUCGGCGGAGCCCCCCGUGGGCACACGCCGUCCCCCAAAUACUGUGGCGGUCCCGCCGCAGCUUCCAUCGCGUAGUAGCUAACACCUCGCGACUGGAGAGCGGCGCGGCCACGCCGUAAAACACCCAACUCUUCUGAAGUUGACCUCGAAUCAGGUAGGAAUACCCGCUGAACUUAAGCAUAUCAAUAAGCGGAGGA
rnacentral:misc_RNA from 1 species